CAACUACUCCCUCUGUCCCAAAUUUCUUGUCUUAGAUUUGUCUAGAUGCGGAUGUAUGAUACAUCCGCAUCUAGACAAAUCUAAGACAAGAAUUUUGGGACGGAGGGAGUACUUU
rfam:Triticum aestivum genome assembly, contig: Triticum_aestivum_CS42_TGACv1_scaffold_502639_6BL